ensembl:piRNA 21ur-732 ncRNA
GUUAAACAUUCAAUACUCAAA